ACAGCUUUCAAUCAUAUGCACACAAUAUAUCUCCUAAAACUUGAGGACAAGAGAGAGACAAUAAUAGAAGUCCACAGAAAGUUUAACCAUUUUGCACAGUAAACUAUGGCCAAAUCCUGUGCGGAACUGAUACAAGUGGGGCUAAACUGAAUCCUUUUAGUGUCGGUGAAAUGCCAAAAGCACUCCCUCAUGGUUCUAUCACUAUCAUUACAAGAAACUUAUAGUUGAGAAGAGAACUUCACUUGUUUACCAACAUACUGGUGUAAAUUAUGAGAUAUAAUGUGUUAAUAUACUUGCAUCUAGAGGCCUUAAAAAUUGCAAAAUACACCUCAUGUUGCUGGUCAAUUUGUGUCAGGUGACAAUGCAGUUCUUAAUUCCACAAUUACUUAUUUUCCAAUUAUAAAUGAGAAAAAUAUUAAUCGUUUUCAGUUCUGAAUGUUUAAUGCAUUUGCUGACAUCAGUAAACUUUCAAAUUUUGGCCAUGUACUUUGACCCCAGUAACAAUUGUCGCAAGGCCUGGAAAGAGAGAUCAAGAGCAAGCACAUUUACUGAGUUGGCAUCCACAUGACAUGCAAACUUGGAUUUUGACUGAUGGAAUAUUUUUUUUUGUUUAUCUUUAUUUACAAAAUCCCUAAUAAAAGGGUUAUCUUUAUUUUUUCUGCAUAAAAAAAAAGGUCAAAG
rnacentral:misc_RNA from 1 species